rnacentral:rRNA from 1 species
GUGAGGAAUAUUGCGCAAUGGGCGAAAGCCUGACGCAGCAACGCCGCGUGGAGGACGAAGGCCUUCGGGUCGUAAACUCCUUUUCUGGGGAACGAGGAAGGACGGUACCCCAGGAAUAAGUCUCGGCUAACUACGUGCCAGCAGCCGCGGUAAAACGUAGGAGGCGAGCGUUAUCCGGAUUUACUGGGCGUAAAGCGCACGCAGGUGGCUUCGUAAGUCGGACAUGAAAGCUCCUGGCUUAACUGGGAGAGGUUGUUCGAUACUGCGGGGCUUGAGGUUGGGAGAGGGACGUGGAAUUCCCGGUGUAGUGGUGGAAUGCGUAGAUAUCGGGAGGAACACCAGUGGCGCAAGCGGCGUCCUGGCCCACACCUGACGCUGAGGUGCGAAAGCGUGGGGAGCAAACAGGAUUAGAAACCCCGGUAGUCC